GAACGAAAUUCAUGAUUCUUAUGAUAUGUUCAAAAAAGAAGAAUAUUCUACGAAAAAUGAAAAUUAUUAAUUAUUGUUAGUAUUGACAAUAAUCUUGUAUGAAAUAUUGGUAUUGAGCCCACAAACAUUGCAAGAAAAUUUUAUCGUGUAAUUAUUUUUACAAAUAUUUCUUUAAUUUUUUCGCAUUAUUAUCAUUCACAAUUUGAAUCUUAAUUACAAAAUCUAAAAUCUAUUUAAAACAAUAACGAACGUCUAUUCCACAAAACAGUCAAUCAAAUAAACAAGAAAGUAGUUAAGCGUGCUACUGAAGCUCGGUACAUUUGCACCUGCGGGUCUUCCUUGAAGAAUUAGUCACUAGAAGCGGAACAAUCGUUAAGUAACACGAAAGGACGUUUUGUGCGAUCUCCUAAUAUUGGAUGAAACGUUUCUUGAUCAAAUUCCAGUGCAUUUAUGCUUGUAUAUUGUGCUAGAAACUGUUGGGAAUAGGAUAUUCAGAUGGUAACUCUGUCCAUGUUACAAAACAGAGAUCAACAGAGAACUUCUCUUGCUCUAGCAUCUCACGAUGUCGACGACAUACAUCCGACCAGUGUAUAACGUAUAGUGACCAUACGGCAUACGUACAGAUGCUUCAUCAUAAUAGUUUCUAUUUUCGGUUGGAGGGUUGGCUACACAUAGGUGCAGAUGUUCACUGCUGAGCUAAAAGCAUUUUAGGGGGAGAAGGUCGAACUUGGUGCCAUGUAUUUUCAAGAGAUUAAUAGGCAAAUAGAUGAAUUGAAUCUAGUUUUCAAUAAAAAACAUGUUUAAAAAUUAUAAAAUAAAGUCAGUUUAUAAAAAUAAUGAAGUAUAAUUUAUGAAUUAGAAUUGAAGAAAAAGAUAUUUGUUUUUAUAUAUUUUAUAUAUAUUUAAUAUAUAUACUAAGAAAGUUUUUUCACUAGCAGUAUUGUAAAACGAAGAUACAAAUCGAAAUCUUAAUGAAAAUACAAAGGAUACUAUGAAGACAUUGAACGAAUAAAUGAAAUACAGUAGUAAGUAAGAAAAAAAAAUGAAUGAAAUGUAGCGACAUUGGCUAAGAACGGCCUUCAAAGUGUACUCGAAUACUCUGCUAACGCAAUAAAAGACUCGACUAUAGACA